rnacentral:tRNA from 1 species
GGCCGACUAGCUCAGUUGGUUAGAGCGUCGUGCUAAUAACGCGAAGGUCUUGGGUUCGAUCCCCACUUUGGCCA